rnacentral:rRNA from 1 species
CCCUUAGAUGUCCUGGGCCGCACGCGCGCUACACUGAGUGUCUGAGAUACGAGUCUGCCUGGUCCGGCAAGGUCUAGGUAAUCGCUAAAAGACACAUCAUGCUUGGGAUAGAUUAUUGCAAAUAUUAAUCUUGAACGAGGAAUUCCUAGUAAGCGCAAGUCAACAGCUUGCGUUGAUUACGUCCCUGCCCUUUGUACACACCGCCCGUCGCUACUACGGAUUGGAUGUUUAAGCGAGGUUCUCGAACUGCUAGCGACUUAGCUUCGGUGAGGUCGCAGUGUGGGAAGUGAACCUAGCUUUGGUGUCUAGAGGAAGUAAAAGUCGUAACA